rnacentral:rRNA from 1 species
AGUGAACGCUGGCGGCAGGCCUAACACAUGCAAGUCGAACGGCAGCACAGUGGAGCUUGCUCCAUGGGUGGCGAGUGGCGGACGGGUGAGGAAUACAUCGGAAUCUGCCCAGUCGUGGGGGAUAACAUAGGGAAACUUAUGCUAAUACCGCAUACGACCUACGGGUGAAAGCGGGGGAUCGCAAGACCUCGCGCGAUUGGAUGAGCCGAUGUCCGAUUAGCUAGUUGGCGGGGUAAUGGCCCACCAAGGCGACGAUCGGUAGCUGGUCUGAGAGGAUGAUCAGCCACACUGGAACUGAGACACGGUCCAGACUCCUACGGGAGGCAGCAGUGGGGAAUAUUGGACAAUGGGCGCAAGCCUGAUCCAGCCAUGCCGCGUGGGUGAAGAAGGCCUUCGGGUUGUAAAGCCCUUUUGUCCGGAAAGAAAAGCCCUGGGUUAACACCCUGGGGUGAUGACGGUACCGGAAGAAUAAGCACCGGCUAACUUCGUGCCAGCCGCCGCAGUAAGAC